rnacentral:rRNA from 1 species
GACGAACGCUGGCGGCGUGCUUAACACAUGCAAGUCGAACGGAAAGGCCCUGCUUUUGUGGGGUGCUCGAGUGGCGAACGGGUGAGUAACACGUGAGUAACCUGCCCUUGACUUUGGGAUAACUUCAGGAAACUGGGGCUAAUACCGGAUAGGAGCUCCUGCUGCAUGGUGGGGGUUGGAAAGUUUCGGCGGUUGGGGAUGGACUCGCGGCUUAUCAGCUUGUUGGUGGGGUAGUGGCUUACCAAGGCUUUGACGGGUAGCCGGCCUGAGAGGGUGACCGGCCACAUUGGGACUGAGAUACGGCCCAGACUCCUACGGGAGGCAGCAGUGGGGAAUAUUGCACAAUGGGCGGAAGCCUGAUGCAGCAACGCCGCGUGCGGGAUGACGGCGUUCGGGUUGUAAACCGCUUUCGCCUGUGACGAAGCGUGAGUGACGGUAAUGGGUAAAGGAGCACCGGCUAACUACGUG